UUUAUUCCAUUGCACGUGCAUCAAAGCGUGCAAAAAAAAAAAAAAUCCACUUGGAUGCGUUUUGGUGUAAAGCUGGAGACGCAUCCAGGAGCGCGAGACUGCUUCAGAGUUUCCCCGUUUUCCCUUCUCCCAACACACCUGAUUCAACUAACCAGCUAAUGAACCCAUCUGAGUGUUACUGGUUCAUGUGUGUGUGUGUGUUAGACGAGAGACAACAGAAGACACCAAACAUGGCUUGAGUUCCUAGACGUAUUGUGCCGCACACGAUGAGAUUGCAGUGAUUAAUUCCCGAAGCGCGUGAGACGCUGAUGUCGUCCUGUCUGCUUUCCAGCUGGGUUCCUGAUUUGAAAGCCUCGAGUGAGUUCGGGUCCUGGAGAGGAAUUUUUCGUGCCGAGCGUGCUGGAAAGCGAAGCGUUUCUCGUCGCCGUUUCUGAAUGCUUGUCCAUCACUCCUUUCAGCAGUUACAGGUGGGCUCGUUUUCUCCUUCUCCUUCUUCACGUUUCUCGGAGGCAGCUGCAUUUUUUUUUUUCAUGACAGCAGGCCCGGGACAAUUUGCAUGUCGGACAGACGACAAACGGCACAGCGCGUGUCAUAGUAGGUGGCGAAGCGUGACAGUUCGCACACGACACUGUCUCCUCGCGCUUUGACCCCGCGACCUCGCCGCAUGUCUGCUUUCACAGACACGAGUCGUCUUGGCGUCUCUGAAAUAGCCAAGCGGGUUAUUUUGAAGGGGAAUAACGAUGCAGGAAGGGUCACCGUCAUGACGUCCCUCUACUUCUGUUGAGACAAAUUGGACGACGAGAUCUUGCUGGCAAUUUGCGCCGACCACGUUUGUUGCGAAACAGGCGGGGUUGUCACAAACUGGCAUGCCGCUGACGAACGGCCAGAAUGUGCACGAACAAGGUGGAAAUGGAUGAUUUAAAAAAAAAAAAAAAAAAGUCAACCUGUACUCACAUCCGUGUAUUUCCUCAUCAGGCCAUGGGGAAAAAAAAGAAAGAAAGAAAAGAGCCCCUACCCCCAUCAUGUUCUUCAAAGUGUAGGCAGGAUAAAGACCUCUUCCAGGUGCCUUAUUUGUACCAUUUAAAAAUAAAUAAAUAAAUAAAAGAAAGAAAAAUCCCUUAAUUCUGUUCACUGGAAAAUAGCGAAAGUCUGACAAACAUCACGGACAGAAUGAUCAUUAAGAAAUAGUAACAUAGUGAUUUUAAAAGAAAUAAUAAUAAAUCCUAGUUGUGGUAAUAAUAAAAACGAACGUUACUGUAGCUACCUCCUAGCUAAUCUGUAUCUUUUAAUCCUGAGCUAAUUCAGAUUUGUACUGAAAUUCUACAAACACCACUACUAACCACGUCGACAGAAAUCCAGAAGUUUUACGCUAAUCCUCACGACGUAUAAAAAUACUAAAAAAAAAAA